UAGGGAAUCUUCCACAAUGGGCGCAAGCCUGAUGGAGCAACACCGCGUGAGUGAAGAAGGGUUUCGGCUCGUAAAGCUCUGUUGUUAAAGAAGAACGUGGGUAAGAGUAACUGUUUACCCAGUGACGGUAUUUAACCAGAAAGCCACGGGUAACUACGUGCAAG
rnacentral:rRNA from 1 species